UGUACUACCUCCUGUCUUCAUUCGGACUGCAACACCUUUUCUUGUCUUGGUGCCAAAGUGGAGGUCUUGUAAGGACAGCCGCUCUGCUCUGACUCCGAGGCCAUUCCUGCUUAUUUAUGAGGCUCAGUCUGGUGCUGUAAUAGAGUUUGUGCUGUCGGAGCGCUGAGGCCAAAAACGGUAACGGAGCUGCGUUUCUGUCACAGAGCCAAAUGCAGAGCUCAUUCAUCUGAAGAUCAGUUUAACCCACAGCGGGGAACAAAGCAGUCAUCCUCCUGAACAUCCUCCUGAACUGAACAUCCUUCUGAAAGAGUCUGAAUGCAGCACUGUGACAUGCUGUAGGACGAAUAUUAAAUACCUGUUUGUGUUUAGAAGAGGCUGGAUCCUGGACACUGAACAUCUGCUCAGGCACGAUCUCAUCCAGUAUUGUUUAUAAAAUAUGUUUGAUUUGAUUUGAUCGGAUUUCUCUGAAGAGGAACUCGGACACAGCCUCAUGUUCACAUCUUUCACAAGCAGCCAAGGCUCAGGUUCAGAGCUGUAAUGAUCUCCGAUCGGACCGUUCCCUCACCACUGCUUUAUCGAAAUGCAGAUUUCCGUCUGUUACUGUCUCCUCCUUUCUUUUCUGAAUCCCUGCACCUCCUGUUUCUCAUGUUUGAUUGACUCCUACUAUAAACACGUUACACUACUGCCUCUGCUGUCACUCUGAGCAUGUUCCUAACUUCAUCACACACUGUUCAGUUCAGUGUUGUGUGCAGCGUGUUUAACAGUGGACAUCGUCCCAGAGCAGCGGUACAGAAAUAUAUACAUUCAGGAUAUAGAUGUUAAAUGUAUGAAUUUAUCUCUAAUGAGCAGACAGAGGAGACGUGGGGAGGAAAAACUCCCUGAGACGAUAUGAGGAAGAAACCUCGAGUGGAACCGGACUCAAAAGGGAACCCAUCCUCAUCUCGGUGACACCGGAUAGUGUGAUUAUAAAUAAAUACACACCUUCUAUAAAUGUGCUAAUACUACAUGCUCAAAUAGUGCAGUUGUGUAACCAGGAAGUUAUGAAUAUGAGCAUCGGAGUUAUUUCUUAAACCAUUAUAUUUAUAACUUAAAGUCUAUUGUCUUGAAAUUAUUAACUGUUCAAUGAUGGAAACUUGAGUGCAAAUUGUUCUUAGUGACCCAAAGCCAUCUUUAUGGUGUUUAAGUGGAACCAUCCUCAGUAAUCUCAGUGAUCUUUAGACUGCACCAUGUGGGACAUCCUCAGCAGCAGCAUGUGACUCCAACUGAUGAUCCAACCAGAAGCAGGACAUCAGGAUAGAUCAGGCAGGUCCGGAGAGCAGAAGGGGUCAGGAUCACUGGCAUCUCAGGAGUAUCAUGUGGAUCUCGACAGAGAGAGAGAGAGAGAGAGAGAGAGAGAGAGAUUAUUAAGCUAUGGUUAUUGUCCUGUAAUGGUUAAGGACAGUGUACUUUGCGUGAGUGAAAGGAGGGACUCUGGCAAUACUAGCUAUUACAGCGUAACUAAAAGGGAGAACCAGAAGGGAACACAGACAUGAGUACUCCCUGGGACAUAAUGCAGCCCGACAUUCCACCAUCAACACCACCUGGGUGAAGGUGUGAAAGUCGGGGGGACAGCAUCCAAACAUCCCAGAUCACCAUUCAGUGCUUUAUAGGUCAGUAGUAGUAUUUUAUAAUCAAUGUGAGAUUUCACUGGGAGCCAAUGCAGUGUGGAUAAGAUCGGGGUGAUGAGGUCGUAUCUUCUGGUUCUAGUUAGGACUCUAGCAGCUGCAUUCUGGACUAACUGGAGCUUAUUUAUAUUCCUACUGGAACAUCCAGACAGUAAGGCAUUACAGUAAUCUAGUCUAGAGGUGACGAAAGCAUGAACUAAUAUUUCUGCAUCAUGUAGUGACAUAUUUCUUAUCCUAGAAAUAACUCUGAGAUGAAAGAAGACUAUCCUAGUAAUAUUAUCUACAUGAGCAUCAAAUGAAAGA
ensembl:lncRNA